GAACGCGUGUAGCAAUACACGAGUGGCGCACGGGUGAGUAACACGUGGAUUAUCUGCCUUUUGGUUCGGAAUAACCCCGGGAAACUGGGGCUAAUACCGAAUGGUUCCUACGGGAUAAAGAUUUAUCGCCCAGGGAUGAGCCCGCGUAGGAUUAGGUAGUUGGUGGGGUAAAGGCCUACCAAGCCGACGAUCCUUAGCUGGUCUGAGAGGAUGAUCAGCCACACUGGGACUGAGACACGGCCCAGACUCCUACGGGAGGCAGCAGUGGGGAAUAUUGGACAAUGGGCGAAAGCCUGAUCCAGCAAUGCCGCGUGAGUGAUGAAGGCCUUAGGGUUGUAAAGCUAUUUUACCAGGGAUGAUAAUGACAGUACCUGGGGAAUAAGCUCCGGCUAACUCCGUG
rnacentral:rRNA from 1 species